rnacentral:lncRNA from 10 species
AAAGGGUAGUUCCCUUGCAUGCUCUCUUGCCUGCCACCACAAAAGACGUGACUUUGCUCCUCCUUCACCUUCCACCAUGAUUGUGAGGCCUUCUGAACCACGUGGAACUGUAAAAACCAUGCUUCAGCUGCUCUGCAAAAACCCUGUGCGGGACCCUUUCCUGGAGUGUAAUUUCACAUAACCUAGGACUACGAGGGUCAGUCUACUGGAGCAAGUGCUGCUUCUACUUCACUGGUGAUUUCCAUUUGUUCAGCGGCUAUACCUGUGAAUGUCUGGAAAAGGCCAACUUGGGAAAGAGUUAGACCCUGAUUUUGACCUAUCCUCACCCUGAGCCAUCAAACAACCCUUCUGUGUUGGCCACUCCUGAGAAUUAGCUGACUAAAAGGAAAGACAUUCCUUGAUCAACUGUCUCAUUGCAAUCACGCCCACUCCCUCACACCUAGUUAUUUCCAAGCUUUUUUCUAACCUUUAUAAAAUAAAAUUCUAUUCUCCCUGACCUUUUAGAUUCUUGCAGAUCUCAUGGCCUGAACCUUCUCCCUAUUACAAUACUCUCCCUUCACUUAUCAUAAUAAUCCCUUUUGAAUAAAGCCUAGCUUUACCUAAGUUGAUUUUUUUACUUGACAAUAUAAAAGAUGAAUAAAAAUACAGAUACAUUAUAGAUUUG